UAGUAUAUCGUCCAACGCCACGUAAGGUUUAAUUUCCGGUUUGUUUUUCUUUUUGAGCUGGGUGUAAAAUAACCACUUAAGCUUUUUUACAUAUCUUUUGUGAAGGAUAGAUUGAAUGCGAUUAAUAAACGAAGCAAAAACUGGAAAAGGAUACUUUUAGGCUUUCAAUAUUCAGGUCCUGUAUGCCCUUGUCGGUGAGAUACGAUUUAAACCGGAAAAGUUCCCUUCUAGAAUCCGAUAUAGCCGCUGCUAAACAUCGCUUCUUAGUAAUUACUAAUAAAUUCUUCGACCUUACCGGUAAUGUAAGUCUAUGUAUUGAUGACGGAAAAACUCUGUUGCAUCGACAUUGCUUCAAGAACAAAAAACGUUCUUCCAAGGUUACCAACUUCCUAAUGUCUUUCUUUCCGAUAAAGGCUGGCUCAGCCUGCAUUACGAACUCAUAAAAUACAACACUAUACACUGUCAGGAGUUAA
rnacentral:lncRNA from 1 species